rnacentral:rRNA from 1 species
AGAACGAACGCUGGCGGCAUGCCUAAUACAUGCAAGUCGAACGGCAGCACGGCAGAGCUUGCUCUGUGGGUGGCGAGUGGCGGACGGGUGAGGAAUACAUGGGAAUCUGCCCAGUCGUGGGGGAUAACGUAUGGAAACGUACGCUAAUACCGCAUGCGCCCUUCGGGGGAAAGCCGGGGACCUUCGGGCCUGGCGCGAUUGGAUGAGCCCAUGUCGGAUUAGCUAGUUGGCGGGGUAACGGCCCACCAAGGCGACGAUCCGUAGCUGGUCUGAGAGGAUGAUCAGCCACACUGGAACUGAGACACGGUCCAGACUCCGUACGGGAGCAGCAGUAGGGAAUAUGGACAAU